CUAUUUAUUUGUACUGCUUUCAGACAUUGAAACCAGAGAUUGCUUGUCUGUGCCAGGUGCAGUAUUCGUGUAGAUUCUCAGCCUCUGGAGAAAUCAAGAUUCAGAUGUGCCAAAGUGGAUACCAGGUGUCCAAAACAUUAGCCUACUGUUGUGUAAACUGGAAAACCAUCUGAAAGUCUGGUGGGGAGAAAAGAUAGCCGCUCUGGAUUUGCCCUGCUGCAGCCAAGAUCAGCAUGUGGCCUUUGAACUCCAUUCUCUUGCUUAAAAGCAGCUGAUAGGAAGCUCGAGAGUACAUAUGUUGCUCUUUCUAGUGUUUCCCUGACAUUCCUCUUGGUCUAGCACAACACUACCCAGCCUUUUACCCUCCGCAGAGGUAUCUACUGAAGCUGACGGACAGCUCUACCGCUGAAGAAGACUUUAGUUAAAAAAAAAAAAAAAAGCCUCCAUCUGGGACCACUUUGCUAUUUUCAGUUUUCCAACUCUUCACUAGAAUCAGAAAGACUCAGUUGCAAGAAAGAAGUUUCCUUCUCUUGUUGAAAUUCAGAAACGUAUAAGUCAGCAUCACUGUGGUUCUAAACUCAGCUUUCUGCUUGAGGAGCUGCACUGUGGUCACUUGUUCUCUGUAACUACCAGAGAAUUCAGGAAAGCUGUUAAGAUCAAAUUAUGCCUUUUCAAGGGCAGGCAGCUCACAUGGUAAUGUGCUGAGCCACCACCAAGGAAUGCUCUGGAUUCUAUUAAUACAGGGGCAAUUUUGUAGCAUUUUCUCUAAAUAUGUAGCCUUACAAAAAAAGCCUUAUUUUCAUUUAGCUAACGCAGUGGAAAAUGUGGCUAGGGACUUACUAGUUAAGCAUAGUAACUUUGUCUUGAAUAAAACGAGGAUGAUUGUAAAGCUUAUAAUUUAGGCAUUAGCAGUUAGAUCAUAAAGUAGGCUACUGGUAAACACUAAGUAUUAAGGAUUACAAUAAUUCAUAUUUCUUUGUUACUGACACCAAGAGACCAAUUCACUAACUGCAGUAUGUCGGUGUAAAAUGGUUAGACCAGGAUUCAGUUUUGCAUGUGUUCAUGAACUGGGUAUUCAUUUACAUCUUCCGUUUUUCUAAAAUGGGUCUUUCUUACAUGAAUGUGUGACAAACGUGGGAAAAAGAAUGUAAUGUCAUAUUACUUUUAAGGUAGAAACACCUAACAAGCUCUUGAAGAAAGCAGACGAGGUAAGUGUGUUUCAGGUCAUAGUAAAUGUUUUGACAGAAAGCUUCCGAACUGGUUUCUCAACAGCUUUCUCUCACAUAAAGGCAUACACAAAUUCUUUUACAUAUACUGAUCUAUUUUAGAUAAGCUGGGAGGAGUAUUAAAUUUCUUAACUGCUUAUUAUACCAAUAUGUCUUUUCCAAGGCUAGUCAAAACUAGAAAGUGUUUGUAGUAAAUCUGCAGUCAGUAUGAGGGGUUUCAAACUUUCAUCUAGAAAAACAUAGUUCCCACUGGCAAUCCAAAUUCUGUGGUGCUCACCAGAACUGUGAGCUGGGAGACCUGCUCUGUGUUAAAUACCAACCCUCGCCUGCUGCACACACCCAGAGUUACGGGGUGAUUUUGCUGUGAAAAGGUGGUAGAACACUUAAGCCUUUGUAAAGAGACUGUGUUUCUCAGACUGAAUAUACUACUUUAAAUAUGCACAUAACAUGUUGGGAUCUAAAUGGUUACCAAAAAUUUAAGAGGUCUUGGAAUUACUCUGGAUAAUUUUCUGUGCACUAUACUUCAGUACUCAGAUUCUGACAAUAAGACAAAUACUAGGAGUCACAUGAAGAAGUUAUCACUAAGUUUAAAGUUAAAAAUAGGAAAUACUUUUUCACAUAUUGCAUCUCGAAAUGGUAGCAUUUGUAGCUGCACUAUUUUGAAUGCUAAAUGUAUGAAUAGAUUCAAAAAACAAUUAAGCAUAUUAAUGCAAAAUAUUUUUGUCAGUAGCUUUCAAAUGUGGUGGUGAAGAUGCUUCCACUCUAGAACAUCUUCAAUAGCAGAGCCCUAGAAGCGGGACAGUGCACUGGGAGAUGCUCUUACCCCCCUGUAAGCUUCUCCUCCUGGCCGCUCUCUGGGACGGGAUACUGGGUUAGAGGGAUCUUGGAUCUGACGCAGUGUAGUGGUGCUUAUUUUUGUGAAUGCUACAAAAGCAUCCGAGUGCUUUCUAAAGAUACUAGAAAAUGAAUUUGCAUGAUCCAGCUGUUUCAGUGAUCAUACAGUAUUUAAAUUGUAAGUCCUAAGCUGUUCUGCCUCUGGCUAUUGUAUGCUUCCUCAACAGACAGGAAAUCUUCUCUAGUUCCUGAGUAGACACAAGAAGGUCCUGGGAGUAGAUAGAGUUUCAGAAUGGAAAAAACUGAGAAUUACCAAUUCAAACAAUCAGUUUCCUGUCUUUCAGGAGCCUCGUGCCUUGCUGUAUAAUACAAUAUAAACAUGAGCUCUGUUUUCUUUUAACAUUUUCAUUUCAGUUCAUAGUAAAAUCAGUCUCCUUAUUCAUAAAAAAUCCAAUUAAAAUUAAGUUAACGCAUUGCUUUGGAAGUGAGUUUUAUGCCAGUGCCAAAAAUGGAUCCAAGCCGUGUGCUAUGCUUUUUUUUUUGUUCCAUUACAUUAUUUAAAGAACUAGUAGCACAUCGUUUGUUUUAACCACAAAGUCCAAUGUGUAAAAUUGAUGUUACAGAAACUGACAGAAAUGAGUUAUUUCUAAACUGGAGUUUCAGUCGAUGGCCAGUUCUCCCAUGUUGCGUGCUGUGCCGGCUGC